UGUUCCUACGGGGGGCAGCAGUGGGGGAUAUUGCACAAUGGGGGAAACCCUGAUGCAGCGACGCCGCGUGGGUGAAGAAGUAUUUCGGUAUGUAAAGCCCUCUCAGCAGGGAAGAAAGAAGACGGUACCUGACUAAGAAGCCCCGGCUAACUACGUGCCAGCAGCCGCGGUAAUACGUAGGGGGCGAGCGUUAUCCGGAUUCACUGGGGGUAAAGGGAGCGUAGACGGCGAUGCAAGCCAGGAGUGAAAGCCCGGGGCCCAACCCCGGGACUGCUCUUGGAACUGCGUGGC
rnacentral:rRNA from 1 species